rnacentral:rRNA from 1 species
GACGAACCGCCCGAACGUUAUUCGGAAUCACUGGGCUUAAAGGGAGCGUAGGCGGGCUGCCAAGUCCGGGGUGAAAUCCUCCAGCUUAACUGGAGAACUGCCUCGGAUACUGGAAGUCUCGAGGAGGGUAGGGGCAAGUGGAACCGUGGGUGGAGCGGUGAAAUGCGUUGAUAUCCAUGGGAACUCCGGUGGCGAAGGCGACUUGCUGGACCCUUCUGACGCUGAGGCUCGAAAGCCAGGGGGAGCGAACAGG